CCACUGAGCCACCCAGGCGCCCCUCAUUCCAAACUUGCUGUGUCUCCUGCACGGUCCAUCCUGCUGGCUUUCCCAGGACACUCUCCUCCCCCUUCUUCCCAGGUCUGCCCUCUUGCGGCCGUGGUCAGACUUGUGUGGACUGUUCUCCUUCGAAUGCCUGUAGUUUUGUACCACACAGCCCACGUCUGAGUUAUUUUUUAUUACGUUUUUGCUAUAGUUUCAUGUGUGUUGGUCUUUGUCAUUUAAGAAUGAUUGCAAAGCACCCAACGAUCUGGAUCAUGGUCUCGUACAUGCCCCUUUCUCCUGCCCAGGAACUAGCGCAGAGUCGAGACUGGCGCUUGUUCUGUGUCUCUGUCCACGCGGUCUGGAGCCUGCAGAGAUCAUCCCUUGUGAAAGGAACCCACACUGUCCACGUAUUUUAUACGCCUUUUGAUAGAAAAAUCUGAUGUUGGACUUUUAGGAAUAAUCAGACGGGAAGAGUGCGGCGUAGUGCCUGGUGCUGGAUCUUUUCUUCCCUUUCCUGCCAGGAGUGUUUGUCGGCGUCGAGUCUGGGCACCUCGGUUGUCAUCCAAAGGGCUUGGGCUUCGUCGCUUAGAAAGCACUAUUUUGUCUGCUCACUGAUUAGGUGAACUCGUGCUUGUGAGAAUGCGGAACGGUAUGGGCCUUGGCUGAUGCCCGUUAAGAAAAACUUGUAAACAUGUUAGUGACUAGCAGGGAGUAAUCACCUGAAUUAAUAGAUGCACCAUGUAAAGUUUUUAAGAAGUAGAAGCAAAGUAGUAAGAUAUUAAAAAACCCAUAUACGAUGGAAUCUUUUGUAAUCUCGCAAUAACUGACAGUUCAGUGGCCAUGUCAAUGCCCGGCCCAAGGACGCUAUACUGGGUACUGAAACCGUUUUCAAUAACAACUGCUUAUUCUGUGAGUCUAGUUUUGGAGCAAACAGUGAUUGUGUAUCGGGUGAGUGCCAGCUUGUAGAAGGCACUGGGUAGGCGCUUUGGGGGAUAUAAGGAUGAAUGAGGCCCUCGCUUUCGUCCUGAGGAACUUCCGUUACAGUAGAAAGAUAAGAUGUGUAUGUGAACGACCGUAAAUACGCUUCCUAAGGCUCAAACGAAGGGCAGGGGCUUUCAAAAUGCUGAAAAUAUCUUUCCCCGGGGAGGCUCGCGGGGAAUGUUAUUGAGCAGGUGGAAUUUGAAUUAUGUCUUUGACAAGAAAAUGUGAGAUUUUGAAGGAACAGAAAGAGGGCCUUCAAAGUUUAACGAGAAUUACCAUAAAUAACAAGGUACAUGGUGCGUAUCAUUGAUUCAGGUCUGGUGUAGUUAGGGGUUUAUGUGAGCCACAUUCAAAGUUGAUGCGUGACCCUGUUUUGGUUUGUUCCUGGAAAAACUGAACCAGCCGGUUACACACUCGCCGUAGAGUAUGUCUGGUGCUUCUCUGCUCCGCUCCCGGAAGGGGCCAGCCAGGGCACCCCAGGAUGUGGUGGCGGGUCCCGACUGCUUCCCUGAUUCCUACCCCCACCCUCACCCCUGUGAGUGACCAUUUGUGCUUGGCUCUCGACCCACCCUUGCUGGUACCUCACAAGAAGAAGGGAGUUACGGGUCUGUAGGUCAGUGCAGGGAGGGAGCUGGUGAGAAGGCCACCGUCUUCCUGAGUGGAUGGACUUUAUUUUGGCAAACCCGCGUGUGACAGGUUCUCUUCUCUCUUUCUCUCUCUCUUUUUAUAGCAUUUGCUCAAUAAACAGGACUCGCUAGACGUUUUGGUUUGCGUCAAUGUUACAUACUUUAAAAUCUGGAAGAGGAGGAAAGGGGACGACGGUGGAAGAUCUACAGUAAGCCGAGAUGGGUCACGGUUUUACACUGCUUCGAUCUUAAGCAUUUCCUUGUGCAAGUGAUAGACCAAGGUGCCGUGAAGGCUCUUCAGGGCUGUCCUGUCAGGAGCAGAGCUGGUGUUUUAUUCCUUCGGCCGGAAUUUCCCAGUUCUUCGUAGUCCACUAAAGGAUCGUUGCAAGUAGUAACAGGACUCCUUGGUUAUCCUGGCAUCGAUCUGUAACGAUGGCGGACUCGUGAGACUCCUGGGGACGGAGGGGAGUCUCUGAGGUUUGCUCCCCGUGUUGCGAAGUGAGAAAAUGUAACGAGAAAUGCCCUAACAAAGCUUGCAGCGAAUCGGAUUGUGUUUUUAAUUCGUCUCACGUGUCACUGCUUGAUGGAAGCGAAGACAGCUGUGUGGCAUUGAGUUACGAUCUCGUAGAUUCCAGUACUGGAUGGAGAUACACAUCCAAGUCCUUGAACACGUGUGGAACUUGCUGUUUAGCUCUGGAGCUAGUUCUGUAGAUGCGACUGUCCUUGCCGGCUAGGCUAGAACGCAUGGUCCCGGCGAAGUGACGUGUGGCCCUUCUGCUGGACCCGAGGUCAGUGGUUCUGAAACACUGCGUCCUUCUCGCCUCCUCUUUCCGGGAGAAUUUUAAGCCACGUGACUCCUUGUUCCGCACAGUCCGGGCCCAGCAGCAGCGCCAGUGCUGUUUCCUGACAGCCUCCCGGAGCCACAGACUCGCCUUUCCCCGGCCCUGGGAGCUGCCCCUCCCAGUGCGAGGAUGGCUCGGUAGCCAGGCUGAGUUCCAGUACCCCCAGAAAUGGUUUCCUCUGGUUCUGUGAAUACACACUUAUGGGCAGUUUUUAAUCUAGCACAUUUGUUUUCAUGACUGAUACGUUGUUUGGUUCUAAAAGGGAACAAC